GCACUACGAAGCUACAACAUGGGCUAACCAUUUCCCAGUGUCAAAAUCAUUUUAAUGAUUUGUUAGUUGUUGCAAAGCAUCAACUUUGUCGUACCCGAGAGUCGAUCGAAUUUGGCUUCUAGUUCAUAUACUGUUUGAAUGCUGUGUUGCAAAGCAUUCAUAGGACGUACGUAUUUAGGAUGGUUGUUGCAGCCAAAAAGUUUCACUUCCUAUGAAUGCUGGCUUCGUCUCUGAAUGUAGCUACAAUCAUUGACACCGUCGUUUUUGCAACCCCCGUUCGUUUGCAUUCG
rnacentral:lncRNA from 1 species